ACUUGGCUAAGUGAUGCGUUAAGGAUUGAAGCGACAUCCUUUUUUGCUACUUUCACUUCGACUACGCUCAGUGACCAUUCGCAAAAAAGAUAUAGCGGAAAGCCUGACCUACU
rnacentral:sRNA from 1 species